GUUCCUUUCUGCUUGACGCGGUCAAUUUUUUUCCCGAAUCCGAGCGACACCUCAUUGGUAGCAUGGUGCAUGGAGCGGAGCUGCGGAGAAUCGGGAGUUUACGCCGCGCGCCAUGGCGCCUUCAAUUUUGGAGAUGCAGCACGGACAUCUAUCAAACACGAAUAGUUGUAUCUCUGCGCCGUCGUCAGCGCGCAUCCAUUUCCCUUGCACUAUUUCCAUAUCGUGUUGGUUUCGUUUGUCUCAUUUGUAGUGGUCCUUCAAGGGCAACGUGAGCAACACAGCCGAAGAUAGGAAAGACGCAAUCCUAAUGACGUCACUUGGUGAAAAUUUAGCGAAUUUUUUUUGGAGAAGAGUAAUAAACUCUGAGUUUCCUCUCAGAAUAAAAAAGAAAAAAAAGAAAAAAAA